UACGUAGGGUGCGAGCGUUAAUCGGAAUUACUGGGCGUAAAGCGUGCGCAGGCGGUUCGUUAAGUCAGAUGUGAAAGCCCCGGGCUCAACCUGGGAACUGCAUUUGAAACUGGCGGGCUUGAGUGUGGCAGAGGGGGGUGGAAUUGACGGUGUAGCGGUGAAAUGCUUAGAUAUCGUCAAGAACACCGAUAGCGAAGGCAGCUUACUAGACUGUAACUGACGCUGAUGCACGAAAGUGUGGGGAUCAAACAGG
rnacentral:rRNA from 1 species